rnacentral:rRNA from 1 species
AAUAUUUCUUGAAACACGGACCAAGGAGUCUAACAUGCGCGCGAGUCGUCGGGUCGGACACGCUCCGCUAAACCCCCAGGAGCAAUGAAAGCGAAGGCCGCCCUUCAGCGGGGCCGAGGGAGGACGGAACCCCUUGAGGGCCCCCCGCACUCCCGGGGCGUCUGAUCCUCACUGCGAGGGA